GAUGAACGCUGGCGGCGUGCCUAAUACAUGCAAGUCGAGCGAACAGACGAGGAGCUUGCUCCUCUGACGUUAGCGGCGGACGGGUGAGUAUCACGUGGAUAACCUACCUAUAAGACUGGGAUAACUUCGGGAAACCGGAGCUAAUACCGGAUAAUAUAUUGAACCGCAUGGUUCAAUAGUGAAAGACGGUUUUGCUGUCACUUAUAGAUGGAUCCGCGCCGCAUUAGCUAGUUGGUAAGGUAACGGCUUACCAAGGCAACGAUGCGUAGCCGACCUGAGAGGUUGAUCGGCCACACUGGAACUGAGACACGGUCCAGACUCCUACGGGAGGCAGCAGUAGGGAAUCUUCCGCAAUGGGCGAAAGCCUGACGGAGCAACGCCGCGUGAGUGAUGAAGGUCUUCGGAUCGUAAAACUCUGUUAUUAGGGAAGAACAAAUGUGUAAGUAACUAUGCACGUCUUGACGGUACCUAAUCAGAAAGCCACGGCUACUACGUG
rnacentral:rRNA from 1 species